GUUAUCAUAGAAUCUGGGAAAGAGAGACACGAAUGCUGGAAAAAAGGCGUUCAAAAUCCAAAGAGGAUCUAAUAAGAGGAAAUUAUUCCUGUGUGGUUCUCUUACAAGUGAAAACAACAGUUAGUGAAGAGACAACAAAGCUGCAAAUUAAAGAACUUUUGCAAAAUGCAAGUAAUAAUAACCACAGUGAUGUGAGCAUUACCAGCAUACAGAUCACGA